rnacentral:rRNA from 1 species
AGCAGCCGCGGUAAUUCCAGCUCCAAUAGCGUAUAUUAAAGUUGUUGCAGUUAAAAAGCUCGUAGUUGAAUUUCGGGAUCAGUAGGUCGGUCAUGCCUCAGGUAUGUACUGGUCUCACUGGUUCCUCCUUCCUGAUGAACCGUAAUGCCAUUAAUUUGGUGUUGCGGGGAAACUGGACUGUUACUUUGAAAAAUUAGAGUGUUUAAAGCAGGCUAACGCUUGAAUACAUUAGCAUGGAAUAAUGAAAUAGGACGUUCGAUCCUAUUUUGUUGGUUUCUAGGAUUGACGUAAUGAUUAAUAGGGAUAGUUGGGGGCAUUAGUAUUCAAUUGUCAGAGGUGAAAUUCUUGGAUUUAUUGAAGACUAACUACUGCGAAAGCAUUUGCCAAGGAUGUUUUCAUUAAUCAAGAACGAAAGUUAGGGGAUCGAAGACGAUCAGAUACCGUCGUAGU